rnacentral:rRNA from 1 species
GUCGUAACAAGGUUUCCGUAGGUGAACCUGCGGAAGGAUCAUUAUUGAAUUUUGAAUGGGGUUGUAGCUGGCCUUUCAACGGGCAUGUGCACACCUCGCUUCAAUCCACUCACCACUGUGCACAAUUUGUAGGUCGGCUUUAGGAUCGGGUCUCUAGCGGGAUCUGUUUCGGGCCGUCCUAUGUAUCAUUACAAACAUUUAAAGUCUAAAGAAUGUACUCGCGUUAAACGCAUUUAUAUACAACUUUCAGCAACGGAUCUCUUGGCUCUCGCAUCGAUGAAGAACGCAGCGAAAUGCGAUAAGUAAUGUGAAUUGCAGAAUUCAGUGAAUCAUCGAAUCUUUGAACGCACCUUGCGCUCCUUGGUAUUCCGAGGAGCAUGCCUGUUUGAGUGUCAUGGAAUUCUCAACUCGCCAAUCUUUGCAUUGGCGCUGUUGGACUUGGAGGCUUUUUUUGCCGGAUUGUAAUGAUUCGGCUCCUCUUGAAUGUAUUAGCUCGGACCUUUGCGGAUCAGCUUUUGGUGUGAUAAUUGUCUACGCCGCUAACUGUGAUGCAUGAGUAGGAUCGGCUUACAAUUGUCUUUAAACGGACAAUAAAACUUAUGACCUCUGACCUCAAAUCAGGUAGGAUUACCCGCUGAACUUAAGCAUAU